GGUAGCUUGCGCUCCCCGGUCUCGAAGCCCCGACGAGUAGGAGGGUCGCAGCGGUGAGCGUCGAAGGGACUCCGGCGUGAGCCGGCCUGGAGCCGCCGCUGGUGCAGAUCUUGGUGGUAGUAGCAAAUACUCGAGAGAGACCCUAGAGGGCUGAUGUGGAGCAGGGUUCCAUGUGAACAUCAGUUGGACAUGGGUCAGUCGGUCCUAAGUCCAUGGCGAAGGCCAGUUCCUACCGUGCAGGCAAAUGUCAAAACGUGUUGUGUUGGGAGUGCGUGCGGCGAGAGCAGUGUUGAACUCUUGGAGCAUAAAACCUUCUUCUCCGACACGCCCUCCCCCUCACGUGUGCGUGAUAUGUCCAAAGGAUACUCUUCUGGACGAAAGGGAUUCCGGUAAAUAUUCUGGAACUUGGCUUCGGAGAUGCUCGGUGCCCUCGGUCGGUUACGGCCGGCCUUGGGAGUCACACUGUGGCAUAAACCCCAGUAAUGGGAUCAAAGCCCGCAUCCGUCGGCGGUGGCCCAGGGAAGAGUUUUCUUUUCUGUUUAAGACAUCUUUAGCCCUGGAAGCAACUUGCUAGGAGAGAGGGCUGUGGUACAAGGUAUCACUG
rnacentral:rRNA from 1 species